CUUGCUUGGUGGCGCACUUGGACUAGUUCUUGGUGGGCAAACGUAUACUUCUAGUUUAUAGAACCAAACGUUGUAAAGCCCGCUACUUAAGCGGGCUUUUUUG
rnacentral:sRNA from 1 species